rnacentral:rRNA from 1 species
GCGCGAAAACUUUACAAUGCAGGCAACAGCGAUAAGGGAACCUCGAGUGCCAGGUUACAAAUCUGGCUGUCGAGAUGCCUAAAAAGCAUUUCAUAGCAAGGGCCGGGCAAGACCGGUGCCAGCCGCCGCGGUAACACCGGCGGCUCGAGUGGUAACCGUUAUUAUUGGGUCUAAAGGGUCUGUAGCCGGCCGGAUAAGUCUCUUGAGAAAUCUGGCAGCUUAACUGUCAGGCUUUCAGGAGAUACUGUCUGGCUCGAGGCCGGGAGAGGUGAGAGGUACUUCAGGGGUAGGGGUGAAAUCUUGUAAUCCUUGAAGGACCACCAGUGGCGGAGGCGUCUCACCAGAACGGACCUGACGGCAAGGGACGAAAGCUAGGGGCACGAACCG